rnacentral:rRNA from 1 species
GGUUAAGCGACUAAGCGUACACGGUGGAUGCCCUGGCAGUCAGAGGCGAUGAAGGACGUGCUAAUCUGCGAAAAGCGCCGGCGAGGUGAUAUGAACCUUUGACCCGGCGAUGUCCGAAUGGGGAAACCCAGUGUGAUUCGUCACACUAUCGUUAACUGAAUACAUAGGUUAACGAGGCGAACCGGGGGAACUGAAACAUCUAAGUACCCCGAGGAAAAGAAAUCAACCGAGAUUCCCCCAGUAGCGGCGAGCGAACGGGGAGCAGCCCAGAGUCUGAAUCAGCUUGUGUGUUAGUGGAAGCGUCUGGAAAGUCGCACGGUACAGGGUGACAGUCCCGUACACGAAAAUGCACAGGUUGUGAACUCGAAGAGUAGGGCGGGACACGUGGUAUCCUGUCUGAAUAUGGGGGGACCAUCCUCCAAGGCUAAAUACUCCUGACUGACCGAUAGUGAACCAGUACCGUGAGGGAAAGGCGAAAAGAACCCCGGCGAGGGGAGUGAAAAAGAACCUGAAACCGUGUACGUACAAGCAGUGGGAGCACCUUCGUGGUGUGACUGCGUACCUUUUGUAUAAUGGGUCAGCGACUUAUAUUCUGUAGCAAGGUUAACCGUAUAGGGGAGCCGAAGGGAAACCGAGUCUUAACUGGGCGUUAAGUUGCAGGGUAUAGACCCGAAACCCGGUGAUCUAGCCAUGGGCAGGUUGAAGGUUGGGUAACACUAACUGGAGGACCGAACCGACUAAUGUUGAAAAAUUAGCGGAUGACUUGUGGCUGGGGGUGAAAGGCCAAUCAAACCGGGAGAUAGCUGGUUCUCCCCGAAAGCUAUUUAGGUAGCGCCUCGUGAACUCAUCUUCGGGGGUAGAGCACUGUUUCGGCUAGGGGGCCAUCCCGGCUUACCAACCCGAUGCAAACUACGAAUACCGAAGAAUGUUAUCACGGGAGACACACGGCGGGUGCUAACGUCCGUCGUGAAGAGGGAAACAACCCAGACCGCCAGCUAAGGUCCCAAAGUCAUGGUUAAGUGGGAAACGAUGUGGGAAGGCACAGACAGCCAGGAUGUUGGCUUAGAAGCAGCCAUCAUUUAAAGAAAGCGUAAUAGCUCACUGGUCGAGUCGGCCUGCGCGGAAGAUGUAACGGGGCUAAACCAUGCACCGAAGCUGCGGCAGCGACGCUUAUGCGUUGUUGGGUAGGGGAGCGUUCUGUAAGCCGUUGAAGGUGGCCUGUGAGGGUUGCUGGAGGUAUCAGAAGUGCGAAUGCUGACAUAAGUAACGAUAAAGCGGGUGAAAAGCCCGCUCGCCGGAAGACCAAGGGUUCCUGUCCAACGUUAAUCGGGGCAGGGUGAGUCGACCCCUAAGGCGAGGCCGAAAGGCGUAGUCGAUGGGAAACAGGUUAAUAUUCCUGUACUUGGUGUUACUGCGAAGGGGGGACGGAGAAGGCUAUGUUAGCCGGGCGACGGUUGUCCCGGUUUAAGCAUGUAGGCGGAGGUUCCAGGUAAAUCCGGUACCUUUUAACGCUGAGGUGUGAUGACGAGGCACUACGGUGCUGAAGUAACAAAUGCCCUGCUUCCAGGAAAAGCCUCUAAGCAUCAGGUAACAUCAAAUCGUACCCCAAACCGACACAGGUGGUCAGGUAGAGAAUACCAAGGCGCUUGAGAGAACUCGGGUGAAGGAACUAGGCAAAAUGGUGCCGUAACUUCGGGAGAAGGCACGCUGAUAUGUAGGUGAAGCCCCUGCGGGUGGAGCUGAAAUCAGUCGAAGAUACCAGCUGGCUGCAACUGUUUAUUAAAAACACAGCACUGUGCAAACACGAAAGUGGACGUAUACGGUGUGACGCCUGCCCGGUGCCGGAAGGUUAAUUGAUGGGGUUAGCGGCAACGCGAAGCUCUUGAUCGAAGCCCCGGUAAACGGCGGCCGUAACUAUAACGGUCCUAAGGUAGCGAAAUUCCUUGUCGGGUAAGUUCCGACCUGCACGAAUGGCGUAAUGAUGGCCAGGCUGUCUCCACCCGAGACUCAGUGAAAUUGAACUCGCUGUGAAGAUGCAGUGUACCCGCGGCAAGACGGAAAGACCCCGUGAACCUUUACUAUAGCUUGACACUGAACACUGGUCCUUGAUGUGUAGGAUAGGUGGGAGGCUUUGAAGUGUGGACGCCAGUCUGCAUGGAGCCGUCCUUGAAAUACCACCCUUUAAUGGCUGGUGUUCUAACGUAGACCCGUGAUCCGGGUUGCGGACAGUGUCUGGUGGGUAGUUUGACUGGGGCGGUCUCCUCCCAAAGAGUAACGGAGGAGCACGAAGGUUAGCUAAUCCUGGUCGGACAUCAGGAGGUUAGUGCAAUGGCAUAAGCUAGCUUGACUGCGAGAGUGACGGCUCGAGCAGGUGCGAAAGCAGGUCAUAGUGAUCCGGUGGUUCUGAAUGGAAGGGCCAUCGCUCAACGGAUAAAAGGUACUCCGGGGAUAACAGGCUGAUACCGCCCAAGAGUUCAUAUCGACGGCGGUGUUUGGCACCUCGAUGUCGGCUCAUCACAUCCUGGGGCUGAAGUAGGUCCCAAGGGUAUGGCUGUUCGCCAUUUAAAGUGGUACGCGAGCUGGGUUUAGAACGUCGUGAGACAGUUCGGUCCCUAUCUGCCGUGGGCGCUGGAGAAUUGAGGGGGGCUGCUCCUAGUACGAGAGGACCGGAGUGGACGCAUCACUGGUGUUCGGGUUGUCAUGCCAAUGGCACUGCCCGGUAGCUAAAUGCGGAAAAGAUAAGUGCUGAAAGCAUCUAAGCACGAAACUUGCCCCGAGAUGAGUUCUCCCUGAGACUUUAAGUCUCCUGAAGGAACGUUGAAGACGACGACGUUGAUAGGUCGGGUGUGUAAGCGCAGCGAUGCGUUGAGCUAACCGAUACUAAUGAACCGUGAGGCUUAACCUU